GUNNNUGUAAGGAGUUGUAUAAAGUUUAGCCUGCCCAUUGACUUGAAUGUUUAAAGGCCGCAGUAUUUUGACUGUGCGAAGGUAGCAUAAUCAUUUGUUUUUUAAUUGGGAACUUGUAUGAAUGGUUGGACGAGAGAUUUACUGUCUUUUAAAAAUAAAUUGAAGUUAACUUUUAAGUGAAAAGGCUUAAAUAAAACUAAGGGACGAUAAGACCCUUUAAAUCUUUACAUUCUUUUAUUUUUUUUUAUUUGUGUGUANNNNNAAAUUUAAAAAAUUGUGAGAUUGUUGCGUUGGGGCGAUGGGUAUAUAAUAUUUAACUGUUUGAAUUUAAAAACAAUUAUUUUUGGGUUUAAAGAUCCUUUUUAAGGAUUAUAAGAUUAAGUUACUUUAGGGGAUAACAGCGUUAUUUUUCUUGAGAGUUCUUAUCGAAAGAAAAGUUUGCGACCUCGAUGUUGAAUUAAAUCNNCUCUUCANAGUGUAGUAUCUUGAANNNUAGAAAGCUGNUCGACUUUUAAANNUUUA
rnacentral:rRNA from 1 species